CACAGUUGUUCCGAUAUCUUUAUAACGGUUAACAAUUCGUGAACACUUGUUGAACAAUAUAUGUUUAUAUUUGCAAGACCUUUAAUUUGAUAUAAAAAAAGGGGGCUGACCCCUCAAAUUAGGGGCCAGAAGGGUUACUAAGUCUUUUCAUAAUAACUCUUUUCUGACCAAUAAUUUGAUAUUAAUCAUAAAGCAGCAAAGUAGCUUUUAUUAAGCUUAAUUUAAAACUGGAACCCGUUUUAAAUCGGACGAUGAAUUAAAGAGAAAUUGGGGUUUAAAGAUUGAGUUUUACGGAAAUUUUGAUGCCGCGCACUUGGUUUAAAAAAUAGUGCAAAAUUCACACUGAAAGUAACUUCUACUGAAAACGAUUCGUACUGAUCAUAAAACUUGAUAAGAAAGCAUAAAAGUAUAUGCAUAUGGUAGAGUUUGCAACGCUAAAUAGAAAACUGAAAUUCGCUUUAAAAUCGUAUCAUGUAUUGCAGAGAUAUCGGGGUUUAAAUAUUGAUUUUUCCGGAAAUUUUGAUUCGGCGUUAUUGGUUUAAAAAAUAGUGCAAACUUCUCACUGAAAGUAACUCCUGCUGAAAACAAUUCGUAUAUGUCAUUAAACCGAACUCCUUUUUUUUUUAAAUGUUAAUCAGAGUGUUUAUCGAAACGAUUUCCUUACUUCGAUCGAUAAUUACGUUGUUAGUUUUUGUUAGUUUUAUAAGUUUUAAUCGAAAUAAUUAUCGUACGAUCCCUCAUGUCAACUCGCCAUGUUUUGACUGCGAACAACAGCUGAUAGCGGUGUGUCAACAUUUUUAAAAGAAGCAUGGCCUGCAAGACGUCGAUAGUGGAAAUUUCAGCUCAGCUAACAUAUGACAGAUUAUAAAGCAAUUGGUGGCCACAUGGAUUUUUACCUGUUGAUUCUUUUCAGCUCUUGAGGAUAACCUGUCACCUCUACCCACAUGCAUAUUCCUUGUGUUCUACAGACUAUUUAAUACCGGUAAUUCAAAUAAAAUCGGAUAAUUCAUGAACAGUUACUGUAAUGGAACUCUAAGUUAAGCAUCAUGCCUUGUUGUGGUUUGUGUUUGAUAAGAAAUUAUAACAAACAAAAUUAAGGCUGUUUAUUAGUGUUUAAAGUAAUUUACAAUUGUUAGCUGUGAAAAUUUGUUUUCAAUAAAAGUAUGCAAUUAUG